rnacentral:rRNA from 1 species
CCUACGGGUGGCAGCAGUGAGGAAUAUUGGUCAAUGGACGAGAGUCUGAACCAGCCAAGUAGCGUGAAGGAUGACUGCCCUCUGGUUUGUAAACUUCUUUUAUAUGGGAAUAAAAUGUUCCACGUGUGGGGUUUUGUAUGUACCCUAUGAAUAAGGAUCUGCUAACUCCGUUCCAGCAGCCGCGUGAAUACUGAGGAUCCGAGCGUUAUCCGGAUUUAUUGGGUUUAAAGGGAGCGUAGGUGGAUUGUUAAGUCAGUUGUGAAAGUUUGCGGCUCAACCGUAAAAUUGCAGUUGAAACUGGCAGUCUUGAGUACAGUAGAGGUGGGCGGAAUUCGUGGUGUAGCGGUGAAAUGCUUAGAUAUCACGAAGAACUCCGAUUGCGAAGGCAGCUAACUGGACUGCAACUGACACUGAGGCGCGAAAGUGUGGGUAUCAAACAGGAUUAGAUACCCUAGUAGUC